CUAGGAUAAAAUGUAUGAGUUAAGUGAAUGAUUCUUGAGUCCACUGGUAAUAUUGCAGUAGACUUGUAUUCAGCGAUAAAAACUGAUUCAGACAAAUGGUGGACCAAAAUUAAUUCAUGUAGUGUUUCAAUUCAGAUGAAUCUCACCCAUGCAAUAGAUUUGGGAUAAACUAUACAGACUAACCAAAAUGGCACAAAACCGCAAAAACAUAACUAGAAGUAUAUAUAGAAUUGUUUGUAGGUUUUCUAUACACAAUUAAUGCUUAGGCUGAAAUGUUAUAUAUUUGUUUUGUUCUUUGAUCCAAAUAAUUUCUAUUAUUAUUUGCACCACACAUCAUGGGUUUUAGAUUUUGAUCUGUAUUCCAGGAAUUUUGAGUCUUUUCCAUGUUGCUCCAGCAUGAUGGACUACAGCAACUAUUUUUAUACCUGUGUGCAUCUCCUUGGUUUUUGCUGUUUAAAAUACUAAUUGUUAAUUUUUAAUGGAAAAUUCAACUUUUUUACAUUUGGCAGCUCUAUUCUCCC